rnacentral:rRNA from 1 species
UACAGAGGGUGCAAGCGUUAAUCGGAUUUACUGGGCGUAAAGCGCGCGUAGGUGGCCAAUUAAGUCAAAUGUGAAAUCCCCGAGCUUAACUUGGGAAUUGCAUUCGAUACUGGUUGGCUAGAGUAUGGGAGAGGAUGGUAGAAUUCCAGGUGUAGCGGUGAAAUGCGUAGAGAUCUGGAGGAAUACCGAUGGCGAAGGCAGCCAUCUGGCCUAAUACUGACACUGAGGUGUGAAAGCAUGGGGAGCAAACAGG